rnacentral:rRNA from 1 species
UACGAGUGCCCCAAGCGUUAUCCGGAAUUAUUGGGCGUAAAGGGUGUGUAGGCGGUUGUGUUAGUCUCAUGUCAAAUUCUUCGGCUUAACCGGGGUACCGCAUGGGAAACGGCACAACUAGAGGAUGCGAGGGGUGAGUGGAACUCAUGGAGUAGGGGUGAAAUCCGUUGAUAUCAUGGGGAACACCGAAAGCGAAGGCAGCUCACUGGCGCACUCCUGACGCUGAAACACGAAAGCGUGGGUAGCGAAUGGG